AUAGGAAUCUCUCUCCUCUUCAGCGGGCAUUUGCAGAAAUGCGACGGACAUUCAUACAGGAUUUACUGACAGUGAUAAGGCACCUGUUGCAAAAAGAGUCAAGACCAACAUCCAGGCAAGCAGCAGCAGGUCCAUUCUGUCAUGGAAAACAGAGGCUGAUAUUGAUGUGGUUCCACACACUUUGCGUUUCUUUCCUGCACUAAAGAUGGUCUCAAUCAGGCACUACUGGAGACAGGACGAUGUUUUCUCCGUGCCUUUUCCUGCCAGAGUAAUGUCAAGAGAGAGAUACUGCACUAUUUCAUGGAAUGUGCACAUGAGUCACCCAGAAGACCAAAAACAUGUAAUGUUCUAUUGUGUGUUCAGUUAAAUAGGAACUGUUUUGAACAAUGGCACGACAACAUUUAACUCCAUUCUCAAAGAGUUACAGUGUGUGAUGGUUUACAAAUGUAUACCUUAUUUUUUAUAUUGUGAAGUAUUUUUAGAUGCACACCAAACUGUACAUUCAUAGCUGACAUUUAGAAUAAUUUUCUUUUAAUUAGAGCCAUAUUGUACUGGUCAUAUAGAAUAUUGUUACAUGUAUUGUUACUUUAUUAUUUAUAAUUACAAUGAUGCUUCUUUAUUGAUAAUUACAAUAAAGCUUUUUAACUCUA